AGCUUGCUGUUUCGCUGACGAGUGGCGGACGGGUGAGUAAUGUCUGGGAAACUGCCUGAUGGAGGGGGAUAACUACUGGAAACGGUAGCUAAUACCGCAUAACGUCGCAAGACCAAAGAGGGGGACCCUCGGGCCUCUUGCCAUCGGAUGUGCCCAGAUGGGAUUAGCUUGUUGGUGGGGUAACGGCUCACCAAGGCGACGAUCCCUAGCUGGUCUGAGAGGAUGACCAGCCACACUGGAACUGAGACACGGUCCAGACUCCUACGGGAGGCAGCAGUGGGGAAUAUUGCACAAUGGGCGCAAGCCUGAUGCAGCCAUGCCGCGUGUAUGAAGAAGGCCUUCGGGUUGUAAAGUACUUUCAGCGGGGAGGAAGGGAGUAAAGUUAAUACCUUUGCUCAUUGACGUUACCCGCAGAAGAAGCACCGGCUAACUCCGUGCCAGCAGCCGCGGUAAUACGGAGGGUGCAAGCGUUAAUCGGAAUUACUGGGCGUAAAGCGCACGCAGGCGGUUUGUUAAGUCAGAUGUGAAAUCCCCGGGCUCAACAUGGGAACUGCAUCUGAUACUGGCAAGCUUGAGUCUCGUAGAGGGGGGUAGAAUUCCAGGUGUAGCGGUGAAAUGCGUAGAGAUCUGGAGGAAUACCGGUGGCGAAGGCGGCCCCAUGGACGAAGACUGACGCUCAGGUGCGAAAGCGUGGGGAGCAAACAGGAUU
rnacentral:rRNA from 1 species